GACAUCUGGGGUGCCGCUAGGCUGAGAAAACACCCAUUGAACCUGAUACGGAUCAUACCGGCGAAGGGAGACAGACUU
rnacentral:ncRNA from 1 species